rnacentral:rRNA from 1 species
GACAGAGGGUGCAACCGUUGUUCGGAAUUACUGGGCGUAAAGCGCGUGUAGGCGGUCUCGCAAGUCGGAUGUGAAAGCCCUGGGCUUAACCCAGGAAGUGCAUUCGAAACUUCCGAGCUCGAGUCCUGGAGAGGGUGGCGGAAUUCUCGGUGUAGAGGUGAAAUUCGUAGAUAUCGAGAGGAACACCGGUGGCGAAGGCGGCUACCUGGACAGUGACUGACGCUGAGACGCGAAAGCGUGGGGAGCAAACAGG